UCUGUGGUAACGUUCAGAUCAGCCUGCGCUCUAGCUGCGUGUGUUUUUGUAGUCAAACUUUUGAUCGUCAGAUUAAUACUUGCCUUCCUGUGCCUUAGGUCCAUUCUUCAUUCGCAGUCCUCAUCAACCUCCUUCAACCAGUCCCCUGCCAGCAGAGCGGCACACAGCCCCGCACUUUUAGUCGCUAGUUUCAAGCUGAUGCAGUUUUCACGCCCAUGUCGUGUAAAUACCUGCGCCCACCUGUGCACCCCUGGGCGUGUUGAAAUAAGGUGUUGUGAUCAGGCAUACUGAUGGGGGAUUGCUAUUUUGAAGCAGCAGAAAGUGACAGCAACAUAAAGCUGGUCUGAAGUCACCUGCACAGUGAACCAGAUAAUCAGCCGUAGCGAUGUGGAAGGCGACCAACAGUAGCGUGUGAGCUCCACGGGGACUUAGACGGGAAGCUGGUGGAACAUGCUGAGCCGACAGAGCGCGGGGCUACAGCGUGACGAGGAGAGGUGGACUCUGUGUUUGUAUCGCUGAUGCUAGAUGCUCUCACACACAGCCCCACAGAGUUGACGACAGCAUUUACCCUGAUUUUUAACAUUUAAUGUGAAGCUGUUAACUCUCACCCGAUGCAAAUUAAA